CCUGCGGCGGAAUGAAUAUUCCGAAAAUGGGCUGUUGCGCGGCGUGACCAUGCUGCGCGAGGACGACCUAACGUCCUCGAUGUGAGCCGUCCGGCUCCCUGAGCGCCACGCCCCCGGAAGGGGCGUGGCGCUUGGGUA
rnacentral:sRNA from 1 species